GUUCUGGAGCGGUUGGAAAGGGCAGUUGUGAACGGCAGUUGGACGGAGGAAUGAAAUCCUGAAGAGAUGCCCAGAAGAGGGACACGCCCGAAGAAGGCAGAAGGGAUCAUUUCUGCUUGAAUGUUUUUUUCUUGGUUAAAACUGCCAUCUCCUCUCCAGCUCCCCCAGGCCUCCCACCCAAUCAGUCCCAAGGCCAGACAAGUAUAAAACUGGCUCCUGCCACACGGAAGGAAACUUGCUCUCCCCAGGAAGGGUCUGGAAGGGUGUCCGCAGUUUCUGGAACAAACUCGUGAAAAUGUAAGGGAAAAAUAGCCCGUACUGCAACAACCCGUCCCAAGUACCCCUGCUUCCCUCACGACUUCACACCUGAACAGGCUCCCCUGGUGGAGGAGACACCCGGCGGUUAACAAACUGAGAAAGGAAGUCCGCGCCAGUCACUCUACCGAGGUGUCACCGCCGCCGGGACUUUCAAGCACCGCGAACAUCUGCUACCCCUGAAUUCAAAGUGACAAGCUACUCCUUGAGUGGCGUAAAGAAGAGAACACUUACACAACAUCGGAUGAAAUUAAAAGCCAUUGUGCAUCCUCCCCCAUCAAACCGAAUGGGCUGCUCAAAUACUUGACAGAAUGCUCCCUGGAGGCAUCUGUCCAACCACACAGGCCUCUGCCACUAGCCCCCAGUGGGUAGAACUCCACGAGCCUCUAUAGUUAGGGGUGCCCUGAGAAUUCGGCUUUUUAAAGGGCCAUCCUCUUUUCUGACUUUAAAGAGUUUCAAAUUAAAAGCGAUGACUCUGA